rnacentral:rRNA from 1 species
AGGUGGUAGGGUAAAGGCCUACCAAGGCGACGAUCCAUAGGUGGUCUGAGAGGACGAUCAACCACACUGGGAGUGAGACACGGCCCAGACUCCUACGGGAGGCAGCAGUGGGGAAUAUUGGACAAUGGGCGCAAGCCUGAUCCAGCAAUACCGCGUGUGUGAAGAAGGCCUGAGGGUUGUAAAGCACUUUUAAUCGGGAGGAACACCUGUCAGCGAAUACCUGGCAGUCUGACAUUACCGAUAGAAAAAGCACCGGUUAACUCCGUGCCAGCAGCCGCGGAAU